rnacentral:rRNA from 1 species
UACGAAGGGGGCUAGCGUUGUUCGGAAUUACUGGGCGUAAAGGGCGCGUAGGCGGUGUGUCAAGUCAGGCGUGAAAGCCCCGGGCUCAACCUGGGAACCGCGCUUGAGACUGGCACGCUAGAGUUCGGGAGAGGAUGGUGGAAUUCCCAGUGUAGAGGUGAAAUUCGUAGAUAUUAGGAAGAACACCGGUGGCGAAGGCGGCCCACUGGAUCGGUACUGACGCUGAGGUGCGAAAGCGUGGGGAGCAAACAGG